rnacentral:lncRNA from 1 species
UCCGGAUGUUCUACAAACUAUUCCCUCUAGGAGUCCCAUUACCUGGCGCCAUACGCCAAGGUCAAUCUACCGAUCCGCUGCUCGGGGUUGAAGGGCUUCCCGACAUAACCAAAGAACUGUAUCAGCUUCUGUAGUCUAGGUUUCUUCUCCUAGCCUUUGCCAUCUCUGUGAUGAGAGAGGUGGUUAGGGCUGGUGGGCCUAUAAU